rnacentral:RNase_P_RNA from 1 species
GCAGUCGGACGGUCUGUCGCUGACAUACGCUGGUAUUUUAAAACGGUUCACAAAGCCACCAAUACAUCGGUAUGUGAGAGGAAAGUCCGGGCAGCACAGAGCAUUCCACUUCCUAAUAUAGAAGCAGUCCGCGAGGGUUGAGUAAUGCAGAAGAAAACAACCGCCCCAUCGGGGUAAGGGUGAGAAGGUGGGGUAAGAGCCUACCAGCGGUAUGGUGACAUGCCGGCUGUGCAUCUUGGAAGCUGCAAGUUCAUGUAUAGUAGCGCUUGAGGGUUGCUCGCCCAAGCUACAGGGUAGAACGCUAGAGUUGUGUGGUGACACUCAACCAGGAUAAAUGACAGACCAUCACGUUCGCGUGAUGACAGAACCCGGCUUACAGGCUGGCUGCAAAG